rnacentral:rRNA from 1 species
UACGUAGGGUGCGAGCGUUGUCCGGAAUUAUUGGGCGUAAAGAGCUUGUAGGCGGUUUGUCGCGUCUGCUGUGAAAAUCCGGGGCUCAACCCCGGACUUGCAGUGGGUACGGGCAGACUAGAGUGUGGUAGGGGAGACUGGAAUUCCUGGUGUAGCGGUGAAAUGCGCAGAUAUCAGGAGGAACACCGGUGGCGAAGGCGGGUCACUGGUCCGGUACUGACGCUGAGGUGCGAAAGCGUGGGGAGCAAACAGG